UCGAGAAUUUUUCUCAAUGGGGGCAACCCUGAAGGAGCGACGCCGCGUGGAGGAUGAAGGCUUUCGGGUUGUAAACUCCUGUCAUUUGAGAACAAGGCUUAUUAGUUAACUGCUAGUAAGUUGAUAGUAUCAGAAGAGGAAGGGACGGCUAACUCUGUGCCAGCAGCCGCGGUAAUACAGAGGUCCCAAGCGUUGUUCGGAUUCAUUGGGCGUAAAGGGUGCGUAGGUGGCGUCGUAAGUCAGAUGUGAAAUCUCGGGGCUUAACUCCGAAACUGCAUUUGAUACUGCGGUGCUUGAGGACUGGAGAGGAGACUGGAAUUUACGGUGUAGCAGUGAAAUGCGUAGAGAUCGUAAGGAAGACCAGUGGCGAAGGCGGGUCUCUGGACAGUUCCUGACACUGAGGCACGAAGGCCAGGGGAGCAAACG
rnacentral:rRNA from 1 species